rnacentral:piRNA from 1 species
UGAGAUAGUAUCUUCUCUUUGCAACAAAGU